CUAAUGCUUUCUAGAUUUCAGUGUCUGACAUCAUAUUGUAAGACUGCCUUUCGUACGGAGAAGAAAAUGAGGUUAAAACAUUAUCAAAAAUGUUUAGUGACAAAGAUCUCAGUGAUGGCAAUUUGUCCAGAAAAUGGAAGUGUACAGUUGUUAACUGCUACGGGUACUGCAGUGAACUCGAGUCAGAAGAACGCUGAGCAGAUCCACCUGGCUUUGUGCAUCCAGCAUGGAACUCCUGAACUCAGCUCCCUCCUUGCACUUCCCACACCCUACACUCCAGUGUUAGGCCAUGUGCCACAGCUCCAAGGGUGUGGAGAAAGGCAAAAAAAAUUCACAAAGGCCUCACCUGAGC
ensembl:lncRNA